AUGAAAUCUUUGCGCUUCUUUGCUAUGGGUUGGAUCGCUGGGGCCGUGCUUGCGUUCUUCAUUCCCUCCAGCAUCAGCAUCUCCAUCGCUGCAUGCUCUGCCUCAACUGAUGAAGGAGGCACAACAGCCGUGCCUAUGGAUGGUGGAAGAGUCAUGACGGUCAUCACCCACAGGAAACUGGAGCAUCCAUUUCUCCCAUCGGAUCGCGAUUUCCUUCAUCCUAUCUCGGUCGCUUUGACCGCUGCCACCCUUCCGCCCACCACCGGCGGGAGGGAGCUAUCCGUGCCUCCCUCCGAUGGCAUCUCCAACCACAGCGACCUCCUCCUCGUCUCGUCCUGGGAUAAGAGUCUUCGUCUUUACGACGCCGGGGCGAACCUUCUCGAGGGGGAGUUCGUGCAUGCUGGCCCCGUCCUCGAUUGUAGCUUCCACGAUGAUUCAGCAGGGUUCAGCGCUUGUGCCGAUCAUACGGUUAGAAGGUAUGUCUUUGGUUCAGGCAAGGAGGAUAUUUUGGGAUGUCAUGAUGCCCCUGUUCGUUGUGUUGAGUACUCUUAUGAAGCAGGCCAAGUAAUUACUGGAAGUUGGGACAAGACACUGAAGUGCUGGGAUCCUAGAGGUGCAAGCGACCCAGAGCGUGCACUUGUUGGGACAUUCCUGCAGCCUGAACGAGUGUACUCUCUGUCUCUAGUUGGUCACCGGUUGGUAGUUGCUACUGCAGGAAGGCAUGUGAACAUCUAUGAUUUGCGUGAUAUGUCUCAACCAGAACAACGAAGGGAGUCAUCACUGAAAUACCAAACUAGAUGUGUUCGUUGUUAUCCCAAUGGCACCGGCUUUGCUCUUAGUUCUAUUGAAGGUCGAGUAGCUAUGGAGUUCUUUGAUCUAUCAGAGACUGCUCAAGCUAAGAAGUAUGCAUUCAAGUGCCACCAAAAAACAGAGGCUGGGAGAGACACCGUUUAACCUGUCAAUGCAAUUGCAUUCCAUCCAAUCUAUGGGACGUUUGCAAUGGGAGGUUGUGACGGUUAUGUUAACCUAUGGGAUGGCAACAAUAAGAAAAGACUUUAUCAGUAUUCAAAAUACCCGACAAGCAUUGCUGCAUUAUCUUUCACCAGAGACGGCCAUCUGCUUGCCGUAGCAUCUAGCUACACAUUUGAGGAGGCUGACACACUUCAUGAGCCCUAUGCCAUCUUUGUGCGGAAUGUAAACGAAGUCGAAGUAAAACCAAAGCCAAAGGCAUAGCCUGCACCACCUUCAUAAUAAACUGGUCCUCGAAUAUGAGAAAUAGCUCCUUCAAUUUGUGGUGUAUUUAAUUUUCAGUUGUUUUGUUCUCACAUUUUUUGUAUUUCUGGAAAAUUUAUGCCUGUAUCUGUUUCUGCCUAUUGUGGCUGCUGUAUUUGAA